AAUAAUUAACAUUAAUGACCAUUUAUUUUCACAAAGUAACAAUAAAAACUUCUUAAUUAAUCCCCCAAAGGUCAAACACAAAAACUCCAUAAAGCCAUUGGAUAAAAUGGCUCUAAGGAAUCCACCAACCAAUCCAAGACAAAGUAAUUAACUAAAUCCAAUUAGCUAUAAAACAACCUUCUAAAUAUUCAUAUAUUGGGUGAAUUUAAGUAAAUAUAAAACCAAAUGCAGAGAAAAGUUAAUUUCUCUCGUGGGAUAUAAUUAAUCAACUGAAUUGUACUAACUUUUGUGGACUCUUCUUUUGGUCUUAUUGUAAGGAAAAUACAAAUCCAAUACUUUAUGUUAUUCACCAAUAAUACCAAUAUAAUAAAAACCAACCAGACAGAACACAGAAGCUUAGUCUGUGAAAGUCACGUGAUGAGAAACCUCUUCAGUAGAAGGCAUAUUGAGAGGGUUAGAAGAACACCAUGGAUCAUCUGUGAUGAAUUGCAUCCAAGAAUCAUCUUUAUCUUCAUCGUCUGCGCAUGAAGAAGAAGGAAUGGGAACAUCAGGUGACAUUGUCUCGUAAUCAUGAUUUAUUAAACCACCUUGUGAUGAGCUCUGAUCCAUUAGUGAUACACUGCUACAUUGGCCUUGCUGAUCUUCCAUUUCAUUGCAUGUUCCAUUCUUCUUGAAUACACGACAUAAUGCAUAAGAGUCCUGAAUUCCAGAAGUGUCCUCGCAUUCCUUAUCAUCGAGGCGAUACUCGUGCAUUACCCAA
rnacentral:misc_RNA from 1 species